GGCGUAAGCGCGCGCAGGCGGUUUCUUAAGUCUGAUGUGAAAGCCCACGGCUCAACCGUGGAGGGUCAUUGGAAACUGGGGAACUUGAGUGCAGAAGAGAAAAGCGGAAUUCCACGUGUAGCGGUGAAAUGCGUAGAGAUGUGGAGGAACACCAGUGGCGAAGGCGGCUUUUUGGUCUGUAACUGACGCUGAGGCGCGAAAGCGUGGGGAGCAAACAGGAUUAGAUACCCUGGUAGUCCACGCCGUAAACGAUGAGUGCUAAGUGUUAGAGGGUUUCCGCCCUUUAGUGCUGCAGCUAACGCAUUAAGCACUCCGCCUGGGGAGUACGGUCGCAAGACUGAAACUCAGAGGAAUUGACGGGGGCCCGCUCAAGCGGUGGAGCAUGUG
rnacentral:rRNA from 2 species